GCAUAUCAAUAAGCGGAGGAAAAGAAACCAACAGGGAUUCCCCUAGUAACGGCGAGUGAAGCGGGAACAGCUCAAAUUUGAAAUCUGGCCCUUGGGUCCGAAUUGUAAUUUGUAGAGGAUGCUUUUGGUGCGGUACCUUCCGAGUUCCCUGGAACGGGACGCCUUAGAGGGUGAGAGCCCCGUACGGUUGGAUACCAAGCCUUUGUAUAGCUCCUUCGACGAGUCGAGUAGUUUGGGAAUGCUGCUCUAAAUGGGAGGUAAAUUUCUUCUAAAGCUAAAUACCGGCCAGAGACCGAUAGCGCACAAGUAGAGUGAUCGAAAGAUGAAAAGCACUUUGAAAAGAGGGUUAAAUAGCACGUGAAAUUGUUGAAAGGGAAGCGUUUAUGACCAGACUUUUUCCAGGCGGAUCAUCCGGUGUUCUCACCGGUGCACUUCGUCUGGUUGAGGCCAGCAUCGGUUUCCGUAGUGGGAUAAAAGCUUUAGGGAUGUGGCUCCCCCGGGAGUGUUAUAACCUAUUGUAUAAUACCGCUAUGGGGACCGAGGUUCGCGCUCUGCAAGG
rnacentral:rRNA from 1 species